rnacentral:misc_RNA from 1 species
AAACACCUCACGAACAUCAUCCACACCAUAAAAAUGGUGGCAGAUUUCUUCAUUGUGAAGGAAAAACCCAGCCUUGUAGAAUUUAUAGAGACUUGCCAAGCUCACAAUAAUAACUAGGCCUCCCAAUAUGAUUUGAAGCCAACCCAUUAGUCUCAUCAAUUUGCAUUUUGGGAAGCAGAACCUUCCCAUCCUUAAUCAAAUAGGACCCAGAUAAAAAGUUGCAGAAAUGAGAUUGAAAACCUCACUGAAUCUCUCUUCCUUUGUGGAUUUGUGUAUA